UACGGAGGGGGUUAGCGUUGUUCGGAAUGACUGGGCGUAAGGCGCGCGUAGGCGGGCUGGAAAGUUGGGGGUGAAAUCCCGGGGCUCAACCCCGGAAUGGCCUUCAAAACUCCCAGCCUAGAGUUCGAGAGAGGUGAGUGGAAUUCCGAGUGUAGAGGUGAAAUUCGUAGAUAUUCGGAGGAACACCAGUGGCGAAGGCGGCUCACUGGCUCGACACUGACGCUGAGGUGCGAAAGCGUGGGGAGCAAACAGG
rnacentral:rRNA from 1 species